GCUGGGUGCAGUGGUGCAUGCCUGUAAUCCCAGCAGCUCAGGAGGCUGAGGCAGGAGGAUCAUGAGUUUAAAGCCAGCCUCAGCAAAAGGGAGACCCUAAGCAACUCAGUGAGACCCUGUCUCUA
rnacentral:sRNA from 1 species